GAUGCGCGCUGGCGGCGUCUCUAAUACAUGCAAGCCGAGCGCAGGGACGAGAAGUUCUCUUCCCUGAUGUUAGCGGCGGGCGGGGGAGUCAGACGUGGAUCACCAAGCUAUAAGACUGGGAUCAUUUCGGGAAACCGGAGCUAAUCCCGGACAAUAAUCCAAGCCGUAUGGUUCACAAGCCAACGACGGUCUAGCUGUAACUCACUCAUCGAUCCCCGCUGAAUUAGCUAGUGGGUAAGGUAACGGCUUACCCAGGCAACGAUGCAUAGCCGACCGGCGAGGGGGACCGGCGACACUGGAACUGCGCCCCGGUCCAGACUCCUACGGGAGGCAGCGGUAGAGAAUCUUCCGCAAUGGGCGAAAGCCUGACGGAGCAACGCCUGGUGAGUGAUGUAGGUCUUCGGAUCGUAAAACUCUGUUAUCGGGGAAGAACAUAUGUCUAAGUAACUGUGCACAUCUUGGCGGUACCUAAUCAGAAAGCCACGGCUAACUACAUU
rnacentral:rRNA from 1 species